AAAAAAGGUUGAUGCUUUAAAAUAAAGAAGGAAAGAGACUUGGAGGCCAGGGGGGGCACCUUUUAUUUCUCCAACAUACAUCAGGAGAAAGGCAGCCUAUAAAUAAAAUAAAAUAAAAUCACCUCCAGAUUUUGAUGCACUCUAAAUUCUGAUGCCCUGGAAGGAAGCCCCUGUUGCUCUAUCGUAGUCACAGCCCUUUUGUACAAGACAAGAAAGGGUCUUCAGAUGAUACUACGUGGUAGAUUUGGGUCGAAGUGACGGUGUCCGUAGAAUGAAUGCCCUUGUGAGGCUGCAGGAACGGUGAACCAGCUGCAAACUUGGUCGGCGUUCCACAAGCUGCCCACUUCCGGAGACUUGAGGGGGCCUUUGAGGCAAAGCGGAUGGUUUUGCGGUUCGCCUCCAGAGACCGUGCCAAACAGCAUCUCAUCAUCUGAGGCAAGGGUGGUACGUGUAUCAGCUGCCAAUGCUCGCUGGGCCUCGGCGCGCACACUUCGACAACUGUAUUUUGUGACCUAAUUUGCUAGCAAAACCACCGGUUUCUUCAAAGGAGCAGUUUGCAAAGAAGCCAGCCGUGGCUUAAUCUGACCUAUAAAAACGCCCAUGUGGGGUAGCGCAGCAGGGCAGCUACAGGGCUCAGAAGUAACAUAGAUAAUGAUGUUACCUGUAACAGGUUGUUCUGCAGAGAACAAGAAAGCUACCAGACCGCCUGUCAUUCACAGCCAACAUCCGGCUGUGUUCCAGCGAUGUGAUUCAAGCCAACACGCACGAAUCAUUUGUGCAAAUUAAGAUAACCUCAGGUGAUGAGUGAGUAAGCUAAGUGGCCAACAAUAAGAGGUGUGAAAUGCUGUCAUGUGACAAUCGGACAUUUUCAGCACUUAAAUAUUCACUCUGCAGAUGACAGGUUAACUAUUAGACGUGGUUUGGGCCUUAGCAGAACAAGGAGAGCUGCUAGCGAGAGCUGUCUCCAAAGGAAUAGAAUUUCCAGAUUGUUUCAGCAAGCAAGCAAACUGUUGGGAGUUUUUACAACCCCUCAUUGCUGCUUGUGGGUUGGGUGAGUGGAAGGGACCUUUCUGGGCUGAGCUAAUCAUUCCCUCCCACCUCUGAAUUCAAAAAGAGCCCCCUUUUCUCUGAUGUUCUCUUUAGUUUAUUGGAAGAGUUUGUUGGUUUGCUUUUAUACACCAAUCUGUUAUCUAGUAAGAAGAAAUAGCUCAAAUGAUUAUAAAUAGGCCUCUUGCAUGGUUCUCCAACCUUGAAUUCCAGACACCAACUUCUGCACAGCUGGGGAUUAAACUGUGCAUUAAACUGCUUUUUAAAAGUGGAUGAGCAAUCUAUAGUUUGCGACUGUGAGUAAAGAA
rnacentral:lncRNA from 1 species